rnacentral:lncRNA from 1 species
GCACCCGCUCCCACCCGCUCGAGCUCCAGCCGCGUACCCGGACGCGCCCCGCGAGGCUGGGAUCUCCUCGUGCUCUGCCUCCCCCCGCCAGGGAGUUCCCCGAGCCGGGCAUUGUGCCGCCGUCGCCGCCGCCACCACAGCCACGCAGCGCGCGGGACUCCCCGGCGUCUCCAUGGAGCCCGACCCGGGGGCCUUCCCAUUCACAAAAUCGCCCCUCCGGCAGCCAGCUGGACCACGUGCCCGAUCCCGGCCCAGGAGGGACCCGGAGAGCCCCGACCUCACGCGGAGACCCCUGACCCCGAGGGCGCCACCCCUCCCUGUGCACCCUCGGGUCGGUACCUAGCCGCUCUCCGCAACCUCGCGCCCCCGUCAGCCCCGCCUCCCCCUGCGGGGUCCCGUGCGCCCCUCCCCGGGCUGUGUCCAUCUCCACCCCGCGCCCAGGCAGCUCAACGCGAAGGUAAUGACCGCUGCAGGGCGAAGCGCUGGCAGCGAGGGCCGGGCUACUCACGGGCUCAGCGCUCCCCGUGGCAGGUGACAGGGGCCCGGCGGCCAUGCCCCGGCUGCAUCCCGGCCGCCGAGAGGGUAGCGGCGUCCCGGGGCUGCGUGGGCACCGGUAAGCCGGCGGCGAGGGGCGCGCGGGACCGAGCUCCGGCGGCCGCCGCCGCGUUUCCUCUGACCACGCGAGCAGCUGGGGCCAGGGCCGGGGUAUGCUGUCCGAGGAGGCUCUGCCGGCUCCGGAGCAGCCCCGCGGCUCCGCACUUGCUCUUCUCUCGCCGCCUCCUCUCUCCCUCUCUCUCUCUCUCUCCCUCUCUCUCUCUCCCUCUCUCUCUCUCUUUCUCCCCCUCCCUCCCUCUCGCCUCUCUCCUCCCCCUUUCUCUCUCUCUCCCCCUCUCCCUGGCUCCUCUGGCUCGCUCGGCUGGAGCGAGGAGACAGCAGGAACACGCGGCGGCGGCGGCGGCGGCCCGGGCGGAGCGCGCAGCAAGGGAGGGGGCUCCGGCAGCCGCACCGCCAGGAAGGGAGGCGAGGAGGGGAGGGCCACAGCCCCGCCAGCGCAAGCCGGACGCACCCUUGAGGCCAGCUGCGCGCCCGCCCGGAGGACAGCUGACCCGAGAGAGAGGUGGGCGAGGCGCAGAGGACCCCAGAACCCAGAGCUGCCCUGGUCCCCGAGAGCGCCGCCCUCCGGUCCCCGCUCCGCCUCCUCUCCCUCCCUCCAGGCGAUCUGAGGCCAGGCAGCCCCUAACAGGACCCUCCUGCCACCCUGGCCCUGGCCCAGAAAGACAACACUGGGGACCCCCAGAAAUGAGACUCACGCAACCAGCAAGGGUGAAUGUCUGCCCCUCUCCCCAUCCUCUGCCACUCCACUGCCUGGCCUCCUCUUCUAGUUUGUCCACCAACCCCGACCCCUUACUAGGGCUUGAAAUCGGUACCUCGCCUUCCUGGGAAUCCCAGAGUGAGUAA